rfam:Parcubacteria bacterium GW2011_GWA2_49_9 TY50_C0013, whole genome shotgun sequence.
CGAUUCAAGGUUGAACCUUGGAAUCAAAAACUACGGACCUCUGGUGUACCUGCUGUCCUGCCAAGGGCACCGCAGGGUAGCUAUGUUCGGACCGGAUAACCGCUGAAAGCAUCUAAGCGGGAAACCGUCCCUAAGAUGAGGAAUCGUUAUAGACCCCUAGGAGAUGACUAGGUUGAUAGGUGCUAGGUGUACGCGCAGUAAUGCGUUUAGCCGAGGCAUACUAAUUGGUCGA